UAUGAAUUUCCCAUCAUUUUUUUCAGUGGUUUACCUUAUUGGUCUGGCGUAAUGUAUUUUAUAUCCGGAUUAAUAUCGGUUAUUGCUGCAGUGAAACCAACAUUAGGGAAGGUGAGAUCAAACUUGGUUCUGAACAUCAUAAGCUCAGUUGUUGCAGCUAUUGCAAUUAUAUUGCUUGG